GUCAUGCAUGAAUCCGAUAGGGUUGUUCAUGUGAGAUGAUGCAGUCAGUGAUGGUAGAAUUGUCGGCUGUAAAAUUAUCUGUAAUAUUCUCAUACUUUGUAAUAACAUAAUUAUCCAGAGUUAUAAAAGAAAAACCAAAAUAAACAAGGAAAUAACUAGAAGUAUACAUUGUAAACUUCAAACUGAACAUUUUAGAAUAUCAAAGAUUAUUCUACAAGAAGAAAAGUUAGUCAAAAUUUCUAAUAAUAAAGUUUAUCAAACACAUUUAAUUUUUCAAAUUUUAGUUAUUUUUUACUUUCUAAAAAAAAAGACUGCGAUGGCGAUUUUAAAUUAGGGUUUCCAUGUGAUUUCGAGGAUGGGAUCUGGGCAUUCCCGACGUGAUAAGGUGUCGAGCAGAUCUCUAUCAGGAGGAUAAGGUCGGAAAGAUUUGGAAUCGAGAAGGAAGUUUGGUAACAAGGGUUUUUUUUAAAAGAGAAAGAUCGGAGAGAGAUCGGAUCUGGUUAUUAUCACGGUUAUUGGAAGGGAGGGGGAUCCCAGUGAAUUAAUUACAAGAUCUGCCAGGAUAGGAAUGGUGCCCUGGGUUUAUUUGGUAUUUGGACAGAGUUUGGGAUCGAUAAGUAUGGGCAGUUUAUGGUUUUAAAACAAUUCCGGCUGGUCUCUUCAAACCAGUUACGGAGGAUAAGUUUGGACAGGGAAAGUGAUUGUCUAGCGGUGAGUCCUCUAGAGGUACAGUUCGAGGGAAUGGCAGAUAAGGGAAGCAGUGGCAGGGUCGAGGAAACACAAGUGUUUAUCUAGCUAAAACUAUCUUGAAUGGAGGAAUAUGGUUGGAACGAAUUGGGUACUGUUUUUAUUCAGAUACUGGUCACAGGCAAAAUGGUUUAGAAGUGGAUUUGGGUUCUUUCUUCAUAUAUGAAUUUUGUAUAAAGGUUUUAAUUUGGAAGUCUUUAUUAUCUCGUUCAUGGCUGGUUGUGAGUGUCAAAGAUUUGGAAAAUAUAGUUAGUUUAUUAUUCUUUGACUA